AGGGCCGGGAAGAAAAGAAAGUGACCCAGGACUACAAUUCCCGCAAUGCACUUCAUGGGCUUCUCUCGACGUGUGCUCUUGCAAAACGUAGUCCGCUGUGGGGGAAAUAUCAAGGAGCAUUUGCACUCCUAGUAUAAGGAAAUUUACUUCACUCCUCUGCAGCUCUGUAAAGCAUCUAUUUGGUUGGCCAUGUACACAAGCUGUCAGUGCUUGAACCAACAUAUCUGCCAGGGGAGGAUUAGGGAGAGACAAGGAGCAGAAUAUUUUCCCCUUAGAGCUUAGAGAAGAAGGAAGGAGACAGGAGGGCCAGAGUCAAAGAGAGAAGAGAUGCUAGUUUUGAAAGAGGUCCAUGAGCCAAAGAAUGCAGACAUACUUUAGAAUAUAGAAACAGCAAAGAGUGGAUUAUCCCCUGGAGCCUCCGGAAGAAACACAGCCCUGCCCACUUCUUGAUUUUGGCCUUGGAAGGCCCAUUUUUGGACUUCUGAUAUUCAGAACUGUAAGAUAAUAAAUUUGUGUGGUUUUAAGUCA